GACAGAGGAGCCAAGCGUUGUCCGGAUUGACUGGCGUAAAGGGUGCGCAGGCGGCUCCGCAUGUCGGGCGUGAAAUCCCCGGGCUUAACCUGGGAAUUGCGUCCGAAACUAUGGAGCUGGAGUGUGGCAGAGGGAGGUGGAAUUCCACGUGUAGCGGUGAAAUGCGUAGAGAUGUGGAGGAACACCGAUGGCGAAGGCAGCCUCCUGGGCCAACACUGACGCUCAUGCACAAAGCGUGGGGGAGCAAAACAGG
rnacentral:rRNA from 1 species